AAAGAGAGAGAAAGAGAGAAGAGUGAAGUGUGGUGCGACAGUAUGGGGAAGGCGUAUAAAUAGGAGAGCACAAUGGCUAAAGCAGAACUGGCGUGACUUCAGUGUCUUUCAUGAUGCUUAACUGCUGAGUGGGUAGAAAUGAAGAUGGAGGAUUGAGGAAGCUUUGAAGAAGGGUUUUAUGUUUUGAUGUCUUGUUCUUUGUUGUUAGAGUGUCCCUUUUGAAACAUUAGGGUGACAAUCAUAAUGAAAUACAGUUGCAGUUUGUGAGUCUGUAGCAGGGGUUUUGAGUUUGAUGUGUUUUUUUGUUCUUGCUGUUUUGCCAUUUUUGAUUUUGGAGGCUACUUUGAUGAAAUAUCAUCAGAAAAAACAAACAAACAAACAAACAAAACCCUGACAUUUGUUCAUCAUGAUGAAUUAGAUUAAUAAGGUCUAUUUUUAGGUCACCAUUUUGUUAAUGAAAUAGUUUCAGGCAACUGAUUUUGACUUGAUUUAAUUUAUUAAUCUUGGAGAGUUCCUGUUUCUAUUCCUGUUUCCAUGAACUGAAACUGCUCUAGCUGCAGGUUUACUAAUCCAGUGGACAUUUAUGCCCACAUCAGAAGAAACGAAACGGACAAAUGACUAAUAAUGAGAAGUUGACACCACCCUUUAUUUACCAGUGGUGGAAUCACAACAAAGGCGUUGAUGUUCUUUGGCGUCUUAUCCUCUUGGGUGUCUUUAUCCUCUUCAUCGUUGUGGAAAAUGGUUCUCAAAACUGACCUCAGAUAUUUGCUCGGCAGGAACCCUGUGGCGUCCAUAGCAUCCUUUACCCUCAUUCUCUGGGCUGUUGAAAAGACGGUGGAACUGGACUUUGUCUGUCCCUGCGUCGAGAAGUGGAACGUGUGGUUUUUUGAGUUGUACUUAGCUGGGCCUUCCUUGGCUUGUUUGGCUCUCAUGUGCUACUAUAUCAGGCCGAUGUCUUUGUGGAGCACCCUCGUUUGCCUUUCCCUGCCUUUAUUUUGGCUGCUGUUGAUCUUUUAUGAUGGUCGUUACCUUGCAUGUGGUCUUGCUGACUCAGACCACAAUGUCACCAUCAUCAUUGACAAACAAAGUCCUUGGAAGGUAUGUGGGUCUAGCAGUGAAGUGACCCCAGAGACCAGUCUUGAAGUUCCAGACUUUGUGUUGUGGAGUCGGUUGAUCGUCCUUGUCAUAGUUCUGAGCUUGUCCUCUAUCGGAGUAGUCUUGCAAAUGGUGGAAAGGACCAAAGAGAGCUUCAGCACAAAAUGGAGGCAGCCAGGAUUGCACUUCAACCAGAUAUGAAGAUGCUGCCAAGGGUGUAGUAGAUGUUGUGCAAACAACUCUUACUGAACCUUUCAGCAAUCAAUGGCAUAUGUCAUUAGUUCAUUAGUUAUAUUCUUUUCUCAGUGAUAACAUUCCCUUAGUUUCGCUGAAGUGCACUCUUUUAUCAGAUAAAUUGGUUAUAGUCAGUUUCAAGCCUCAACACUGUUGUACAAUGUAGCAAAAUGUAUUAUGUUUAUACACAGUGUUAUUGUACUGUUAUUCUUUUACAAACUAGAUGUACCGCAGAGCAGUACAAAAUAUGACCAGUCCAGCACAUUUUUUCCACAAAAAUAAAUCACGCUGAAAGGCC